rnacentral:rRNA from 1 species
CCUACGGUGUGCAGCAGUGAGGAAUAUUGGUCAAUGGGCGCGAGCCUGAACCAGCCAAGUAGCGUGAAGGAUGACUGCCCUACGGGUUGUAAACUUCUUUUAUAAAGGAAUAAAGUGAGGCACGUGAGCCUUUUUGUAUGUACUUUAUGAAUAAGGAUCGGUUAACUCCGUGCCAGUAGCCGCGGUAAUACGGAGGAUCCGAGCGUUAUCCGGAUUUAUUGGGUUUAAAGGGAGCGUAGAUGGGUUGUUAAGUCAGUUGUGAAAGUUUGCGGCUCAACCGUAAAAUUGCAAUUGAUACUGGCAGCCUUGAGUACAGUAGAGGUAGGCGGAAUUCGUGGUGUAGCGGUGAAAUGCUUAGAUAUCACGAAGAACUCCGAUUGCGAAGGCAGCCUACUAAACUGCCACUGACAUUGAUGCUCGAAAGUGUGGGUAUCAAACAGGAUUAGAUACCCCAGUAGUC